AGAGUUUGAUCCUGGCUCAGAACGAACGCUGGCGGCGUGCUUAACACAUGCAAGUCGAACGCGAAAGGGAUCUUCGGAUCCCCGGUAGAGUGGCGCACGGGUGAGUAACGCGUAAAUAAUCUACCCUGAUGUCUGGAAUAAUUAGCCGAAAGGCUGACUAAUACGGGAUACAUGUUUGCCUGUUGGGGCAAACAGGAAAGGUGGCCUCUAUUUAUAAGCUAUCGCAUUGGGAUGAGUUUGCGUACCAUUAGCUAGUUGGUGGGGUAAGAGCCCACCAAGGCGACGAUGGUUAGCGGGUCUGAGAGGAUGAUCCGCCACACUGGCACUGGAACACGGGCCAGACUCCUACGGGAGGCAGCAGUGAGGAAUAUUGCGCAAUGGGGGCAACCCUGACGCAGCGACGCCGCGUGAGUGAGGAAGGCCUUCGGGUCGUAAAGCUCUGUCAGCAGGGAAGAAGUGCAUAAUGGCUAAUAUCCAUUAUGUUUGACGGUACCUGCAAAGGAAGCACCGGCUAACUCCAUGCCAGCAGCCGCGGUAAUACGGAGGGUGCGAGCGUUGUUCGGAAUCACUGGGCGUAAAGGGCGCGCAGGCGGUUUUAUAAGUCAGAUGUGAAAGCCCACGGCUUAACCGUGGAAGUGCAUUUGAAACUGUGAGACUUGAGUACCAGAGGGGAAAGUGGAAUUCCCGGUGUAGAGGUGAAAUUCGUAGAUAUCGGGAGGAAUACCGGUGGCGAAGGCGACUUUCUGGCUGGAUACUGACGCUGAGGCGCGAAAGCGUGGGGAGCAAACAGGAUUAGAUACCCUGGUAGUCCACGCGGUAAACGAUGUGCACUAGAUGUCGGAGGUAUUGAUCCCUUCGGUGUCGCAGCUAACGCAUUAAGUGCACCGCCUGGGGAGUACGGUCGCAAGAUUAAAACUCAAAGGAAUUGACGG
rnacentral:rRNA from 1 species